rnacentral:rRNA from 1 species
UACGUAGGGGGCGAGCGUUGUCCGGAGUUACUGGGCGUAAAGGGCAUGCAGGCGGCCCGACGCGUUUUGUGUGACAGCGGGUGGCUUAACUACCCGAGGAUACGAAAGACGGUUGGACUUGAGGACUCGAGAGGGACACGGAAUUCCGGGUGGAGUGGUGAAAUGCGUAGAGAUCCGGAGGAACACCGAAGGCGAAGGCAGUGUCCUGGCGAGUGACUGACGCUGAGGUGCGAAAGCCAGGGGAGCGAACGGG